rnacentral:rRNA from 1 species
CCUACGGGGUGCUGCAGUGGGGAAUAUUGGACAAUGGGCGAAAGCCUGAUCCAGCCAUGCCGCGUGUGUGAAGAAGGCCUUCGGGUUGUAAAGCACUUUCAGUGGGGAAGAAAGCCUUGGGGCUAAUACCCUCGAGGAAGGACAUCACCCACAGAAGAAGCACCGGCUAACUCCGUGCCAGCAGCCGCGGUAAUACGGAGGGUGCGAGCGUUAAUCGGAAUUACUGGGCGUAAAGCGCGCGUAGGCGGUCUGAUAAGCCGGUUGUGAAAGCCCCGGGCUCAACCUGGGAACGGCAUCCGGAACUGUCAGGCUAGAGUGCAGGAGAGGAAGGUAGAAUUCCCUGUGUAGCGGUGAAAUGCGUAGAGAUCGGGAGGAAUACCAGUGGCGAAGGCGGCCUUCUGGACUGACACUGACGCUGAGGUGCGAAAGCGUGGGUAGCAAACAGGAUUAGAUACCCCAGUAGUC